rnacentral:sRNA from 1 species
GAAUUCAUGAAUUACAUUUCUGCAAGAUGGGGUGGCAUGAUGUCAUCUUCAGUCCUUUUUUUUUCUUCAAUUGCAUUAUAUUUGGAACAGGCACGAUGGUGACAUCUGUAAUCCCAACUACUUGGGAGGCUGAGGCUAGAGAUUCCUUGAGCCCAGGAAUUCAAGGCUAAAGUGUGCUAUGAUCACACCUGUGAAUAGCACUGCACUCCAGCCUGGGCAACACAUAAGACCUCUCUCUUUAAAUGUAAAAAAAAAAAGUCUGCAUGCAGUGGCUUAUGCCUGUAAUCCCAGCACUUUGGGAGGCUGAAGCGGGUGGAUCACCUGAGAUCAGGAGUUCAAGACCAGCCUGGCGAACACAGUGAAACCCUGUCUCUACUAAAAAUACAAAAAAAGAAAAAAAAAAUUAGCUGGGUGUGGCGGUGCAUGCCUGUAAUCCCAGCUACUUGGGAGGCUAAGGCAGGAGAAUCGCUUGAACCUGGGAGGCAGAGGUUGCAGUGAGCCAAGAUCGUACCAUUGCACUCCAGCCUGGGUGAUAGAAUGAGACUGUCUCAAAAAACAAAAAAAAUUUGAUGGCACUGUCUCCAAAAUUAAGAAGAGGAUGGAAGGAGCUGACCCAGACACUCAAGAUGCAGGGCUAAUUAUUCCCAUUUUACAGAUGUGGAAGACUGAGGCCUGUUGAAAGUGCAGAGCUCAGCCCUGGCACCUUCUGUCCUCAAGAGCUCCAUGCAGGUGCCACAGGAUGGAGAAGACCUUGUUGGCCAACCCUGGUACCACGGCCUCCUGUCCCGCCAGAAGGCUGAAGCUCUUCUUCAGCAAGAUGGCGACUUCCUGGUUCGUGCCUCUGGGUCCCGUGGGGGCAACCCCGUGGUCUCCUGCCGCUGGAGGGGCUCCGCCCUCCAUUUUGAGGUGUUCCGUGUGGCCCUGCGUCCCCGGCCAGGCCGACCCACAGCCCUCUUUCAACUGGAGGAUGAGCAAUUCUCCAGCAUACCAGCUCUGGUUCACAGUUAUAUGACAGGCAGGCGCCCGCUGUCCCAGGCCACAGGGGCUGUGGUCUCCAGGCCUGUGACUUGGCAGGGGCCUCUACGACGCAGCUUUAGCGAGGACACCCUGAUGGAUGGCCCAGCUCGGAUAGAGCCUCUCAGGGCAAGGAAGUGGAGCAACAGUCAGCCUGCAGAUUUGGCACACAUGGGGCGGUCAAGAGAAGACCCCGCUGGGAUGGGUGAGUGUCUGCCAGAAUGGCCUGUGGCUCAGGGAUUGGCUCUGCCACUCACCACCUAAGAGAUCUUGGUCAGGUGCAGGAACCUCAUGGAGCCUCAAUUUCUUGCUUUAGAAAAUGAUGACAAUCACGAUGACUUAAAACACGCAGGGACUUUGUGGGUGCUUAAAAUGUGUGUUUCCAAAGCUGAGUGCAGUGGCUCAUGCCUGUAAUCCCAGCACUUUGGGAGGCCGAGGCUGGUGGAUCAUUUGAGGUCAGGAAUUCGAGACCAGCCUGACCAACAUGGUGAAACCCCAUCUCCACUAAAAACAAAAUUAGCCGAGCAUGGUGGCACGCACCUGUAAUCCCAGCUACUCUGGAGGCUGCGGCAGGAGAAUCACUUGAACCCGGGAGGCGGAGGUUGCAGUGAGCCGAGAUGGCGCCACUACACUUCAGACUGGGUGACAGGACAAAACUCCAUCUCAAAAAAAAAAAAAAAGUGUUUACAAUUAUUCUAAGGAGCUGUACCUGUUCUGACCACAGCUUACCUUGCUAACAACUUCUGCUACAUACCCUCCUCAUGCUGGUUACACAGCCCUCCUUGCAGUUGUUCGAACCCUCAGGCUUUUAUUUCCUCCUCAGGGCCUUUGCAUGUUACAUUUCCACCAGUGACGGGAACAUUCGCAUUCCCCUAAUUUUUUCCUGAGUGGCUCCUCUCCAUCCAGGGUGAGUUCCUCAAAGCAGUUGAGUCUGACGGUCUUACCUAAAGGAGGACUCACCUGAAUGCCCCCUCAUGCCCCUUUUUUCCCAUCCUUCUCCCAACCCCAUUCAACAUGAGCCCUCCCUGCAUCCCAGGCCCUGCACGGAGUGCUAGGAUAGAUCAACGAACCAGAAAGAGACAAAGAUCCCUGCCCAAUGGGAGCCAACAGUCUACGAGAGGACAACAAACCAUGAACCACAAAAAUAAGGCAAUUUUGUUUGCUUCAAGAUGAAAAUUAAAACAGUAAGGGAAGGCCAGGCACAGUGGCUCAGGCCUGUAAUCCCAGCACUUUGGAAGGCCGAGGUGGGUGGAUCACCUGAGGUCAGGAGUUUGAGACCAGCCUGGCCAACAUGGUGAAACCCCGUCUCUACUAAAACUACAAAAAUUAGCCAGGCGUGGUGGCACAUGCCUGUAAUCCCAGCUACACGGGAGGCUGAGGCAUGAGAAUUGCUUGAACCCAGGAGGCGGAGGUUGCCAUGAGCCAAGAUCGCGCCACUGCACUCCAGCCUGGACAACAGAGUGAGACUCUGUCUCAAAAAAGAGACAAACAAAAAACAGACAAACAAAAAACAGUAAGGGAAGGGUGAGGUGGCUCAGGUCUGUAAUCCUAGCACUUUGGGAGGCCAAGGUGGGCAGAUCACUUGAGGUCAGGAGUUCGACACCAGCCUGGCCAACAUGGUGAAAACCCAUCUCUACUUAAAAAAAAAAAAAAAAAAAAAAAAAAAAAAAAUUAGCCAGGUGUAGUGGCAUAUGCCUGUAAUCCCAGCUACUUGGGACAGAGUGAGACUCUGUCUCAAAAAAACCAAAAAAAAAAAAAACAAAACAAAACAAAAAAAACAGAGUAAGGGAGAUAGAGACUAUAAAGAUGGAGAUGUAUAUUGCAAUUUUAUUUUAUUUUUAUUUAUUUAUUUUUGAGAUAGAGUUUUGCUCUUGUUGCCCAGGAUGGAGUGCAAUGGCGUGAUAUCGGCUCACUGCAACCUCCACCUUCUGGGUUCAAGCGAUUUUCCUGCCUCAGCCUCCCGAGUAGCUGGGAUUACAGGCAUGUGCCACCAUGCCCGGCUAAUUUUGUAUUUUUAGUAGAGACGGGGUUUCACCACGUUGGUUAGGCUGGUCUCGAACUCCUGACCUCAGGUGAUCCACCCACCUCGACCUCCCAAAGUGCUGGGAUUACAGGCGUGAGCCAUUGUACCCGGGCAAGCAAUUUUAAAUAGUAGUCAGGAAAGGCCCCAUUGCAGAAAAAAAUAAAAUAAAAUUGAAAGAAAUGAGGGAGGGAACAAGGUGGAUAACUGGGAGAUAAGCAGGCAGGAGGAAGAGGGAGUGCAAAGGCUCUUGGGUCAGAACAAGAAUUUAAGCUGUUCAUUCAACCAAAAAAUGAGUGGGUAGCUGGGUGUGGUGUUGCACGCCUAUGGUCCUAGCCACUUGGGAGGUUGAAGCAGGAGGACUCCUUGAACCCAGGAAGUCAAGGCUGCAGUGAGCUGUGAUCGCACCAUUGCACUCCAGCCUGGGCCACAGAGUGAGACCCUGUCUCAAAUU